ACACGACUACAUUAGAUACCCGGGUAGUCCUAGCCGUAAACGAUACUCGCUAGGUGUCGGCCACGGUGCGACCGUUGUCGGUGCCGUAGGGAAGCCGUGAAGCGAGCCACCUGGGAAGUACGGCCGCAAGGCUGAAACUUAAAGGAAUUGGCGGGGGAGCACCACAACGGGUGGAGCUUGCGGUUUAAUUGGAUUCAACGCCGGAAAUCUUACCGGGACCGACAGCAACAUGAAGGCCAGGCUGAAGACUUUGCCGGGUUAGCUG
rnacentral:rRNA from 1 species